GACAGAGGAUGCAAACGUUGCUCGGAUUUACUGGGCGUAAAGCGCGCGCAGGCGGUCCUGUAAGUCGAGUGUGAAAUCCCGGGGCUCAACCUCGGACGUGCACUCGAUACUGCGGGACUGGUGUACUGGAGAGGAGAGCGGAAUUCCCGGUGUAGAGGUGAAAUUCGUAGAUAUCGGGAGGAACACCAGUGGCGAAGGCGGCUCUCUGGACAGAUACUGACGCUGAGGCGCGAAAGCGUGGGAAGCAAACAGG
rnacentral:rRNA from 1 species